AGAUGGUGGGGGGGUUGAAAGCACCGGUCUUGAAAACCGGCAUACGUUAAUAGCGUAUCUAGGGUUCAAAUCCCUAUCUCUCCGCCA
rnacentral:tRNA from 1 species